rnacentral:sRNA from 1 species
UUUUUUUUUUUUUUUAAGCAACCCUACAGUUUUUGUGGGAUUUGUUUAAAGUCCUACUAAUGUGCACAGCCACAUGCUACUUUGGCCCUGUGGGGAAAGAAAAGUCAGAGCCUGCCCUCCAGGAGGGAAACACCUCCAAUCACGCCUCAGUCAUGUGGAAAACACCUUCUGUGUCAGGGUCCCAGUUGGAUGCUGGCGUGCAGAGAGGCCCUCUACACAGAGACAAGGCUGCAGUUUGAUGAGACAGCCAAGCACCUGCAGAAGCUGGAAGGCACCACCAGAAAGGCGGUUUGUGCAUCUGUGAAAUACUUCAACAAGAGCCAGGCCAUCGAGUCAAUAGAAAGGAAAAAGCAAGAGAAAAAGCAAGAACAAGAGGACAACUUGGCCGAGAUCACCAACCUGCUGCGUGGGGACCUGCUUUCUGAGAACCCGCAGCAGGCAGCCAGCUCCUUCGGGCCCCACCGCGUGGUCCCUGACCGCUGGAAGGGCAUGACCCAGGAGCAGCUGGAGCAGAUCCGCCUAGUCCAGAAGCAGCAAGUCCAGGAGAAGCUGAGGCUGCAGGAAGAAAAGCACCAGCGAGACCUGGACUGGGACCAGCAGAGGAUUCAGGGGGCUCGCGCCACCCUGCUGUUUGAGCGGCAGCAGGGGCGGCAGCAGCGCGACCUGUGC